UCUGUAGCGUCUUGCAGGAUAUUUGAA
rnacentral:piRNA from 1 species